GGAGGAAAGGUUUGCCAUACAAGCAUGAGGGUCUACCCAGCUCCCAUGUCAAGAGCCAGUUGCAUGAAGGAUACAGACCUAAUUUCAGUGGAAGAAACCUGCCACGUUGCCUGAUGUUUAGCCCUGAUGUUGGCAUCUCCUGGUGCUCUGUCAGGACGGGAGAAACUGGUACAGUUGUAUGUGCCACAAUUUUCUGACUGGCCAUGCUUCACUGGAGUCUGCUUCCUGCGUGGCUCCUGAUACCCAGCCCUUGUGUGACAAACGAGCACGUUGGACCUUCUAAGUCUCUAUUGCUUUAGAAGAUCACAUCAAAGAGGUUUUACUAAUUAAUAAUGGUUACUGAAUGGA
ensembl:lincRNA 1700065J18Rik RIKEN cDNA 1700065J18 gene